CACAUGCAAGUCGAGGGGCAGCAUGGUCUUAGCUUGCUAAGGCCGAUGGCGACCGGCGCACGGGUGAGUAACACGUAUCCAACCUGCCGUCUACUCUUGGACAGCCUUCUGAAAGGAAGAUUAAUACAAGAUGGCAUCAUGAGUUCACAUGUUCACAUGAUUAAAGGUAUUCCGGUAGACGAUGGGGAUGCGUUCCAUUAGAUAGUAGGCGGGGUAACGGCCCACCUAGUCUUCGAUGGAUAGGGGUUCUGAGAGGAAGGUCCCCCACAUUGGAACUGAGACACGGUCCAAACUCCUACGGGAGGCAGCAGUGAGGAAUAUUGGUCAAUGGGCGAGAGCCUGAACCAGCCAAGUAGCGUGAAGGAUGACUGCCCUAUGGGUUGUAAACUUCUUUUAUAAAGGAAUAAAGUCGGGUAUGGAUACCCGUUUGCAUGUACUUUAUGAAUAAGGAUCGGCUAACUCCGUGCCAGCAGCCGCGGUAAUACGGAGGAUCCGAGCGUUAUCCGGAUUUAUUGGGUUUAAAGGGAGCGUAGAUGGAUGUUUAAGUCAGUUGUGAAAGUUUGCGGCUCAACCGUAAAAUUGCAGUUGAUACUGGAUAUCUUGAGUGCAGUUGAGGCAGGCGGAAUUCGUGGUGUAGCGGUGAAAUGCUUAGAUAUCACGAAGAACUCCGAUUGCGAAGGC
rnacentral:rRNA from 1 species